rnacentral:piRNA from 1 species
UCUAAAGUCUCUUAUCUCCUGGUGCAUUUC